GGAAUCUUCCGCAAUGGGCGAAAGCCUGACGGAGCAACGCCGCGUGAGUGAUGAAGGUUUUCGGAUCGUAAAGCUCUGUUGCCAGGGAAGAACGUCUUGUAGAGUAACUGCUACAAGAGUGACGGUACCUGAGAAGAAAGCCCCGGCUAACUACGUGCCAGCAGCCGCGGUAAUACGUAGGGGGCAAGCGUUGUCCGGAAUUAUUGGGCGUAAAGCGCGCGCAGGCGACUCUUUAAGUCCGUUGUGAAAGCCCUGGGCUCAACCUGGGAACUGCAGUGGAUACUGGGCGACUAGAAUGUGGUAGAGGGUAGCGGAAUUCCUGGUGUAGCAGUGAAAUGCGUAGAGAUCAGGAGGAACAUCCAUGGCGAAGGCAGCUACCUGGACCAACAUUGACACUGAGGCACGAAAGCGUGGGGAGCAAACAGGA
rnacentral:misc_RNA from 1 species